CCUACGGGAGGCAGCAGUGGGGAAUAUUGGACAAUGGGCGCAAGCCUGAUCCAGCCAUACCGCGUGUGUGAAGAAGGCCUUUUGGUUGUAAAGCACUUUAAGCGAGGAGGAGGCUCUUGAGGAUAAUACCCUUGAUGAGUGGACGUUACUCGCAGAAUAAGCACCGGCUAACUCUGUGCCAGCAGCCGCGGUAAUACAGAGGGUGCGAGCGUUAAUCGGAAUUACUGGGCGUAAAGCGCGCGUAGGCGGCUUGUUAAGUCGGAUGUGAAAUCCCCGGGCUCAACCUGGGCACUGCAUUCGAUACUGGCAAGCUAGAGUAUGGGAGAGGAAGGUAGAAUUCCAGGUGUAGCGGUGAAAUGCGUAGAGAUCUGGAGGAAUACCGAUGGCGAAGGCAGCCUUCUGGCCUAAUACUGACGCUGAGGUGCGAAAGCAUGGGGAGCAAACAGGAUUAGAUACCCUGGUAGUCCAUGCCGUAAACGNUGUCAACUAGCCGUUGGGACCUUGAGUCUUUAGNGGNGCGNGCGUAACGUCGAGUUAGUUGUACCGCCGUUGGGUAGGUUACGGUUCGGCGAGACGAACGUUACGAAGAAGUUAGACGGCGNGAGAGNGCGAGGACGACGACGAGGGAGGUAGG
rnacentral:rRNA from 1 species